AAUUUACAAGGAGCCAGUGAAGGUUCUGUGACUCAAGGAAAGUGCUUGAAAAAGGUGUACAGUUUCCUCAGAUGGGAGUGUGAGUAAUGGGUGUCCUGGAGGCUGAGAAAAGCACUAGAAGAGGUGUCAUUGGAAUGGAUAAGGUGAGUGGGCAGUUGAGCUUCAUGAACAAUAUGGGGGAGGGGGAGUGGGGAGAGCUGUAAGAGAGUAGGCUGAUGCGUUAGGGCUGCUGAGGGCUUUGGCUGCCAUGAUGAAGAGUUGCCAGUGGGUAACUCUUCAAGUGUUUGAGUGGUUAUGAUCAGCUUGUCUUUUAGAAGACAACCCCGAUAGCAAAAUGGAGGAUGGAUUAGAGAAGAGAGAAAAUGGAGUCAGGGGAGGAAGGCAUUUUAAAUGAAGCUUUUACAUUUUCAUAUGAAAUAUUAUCUUUGUUUUCUCCACACAUAUGUGGUACAGCAUAAAAGAUUUAGAGCAAAAACCAUGGACAACAUGCCUAUUCAUUUCAAUGAUUAAAAAAAGUUUUUAUUGAAUACCUGCUACCUGCUAGUGACAUUUCUGAGGGCUGUAUAUACAGCAGUCAACAAGAUAGACAUGACCUCUGCCCUCAGGGAGCUUACCUUCUCUUGGGGGAGAAUGAUCAUCAAGCCAACAAAGUAAUAAGUAAUUUAGAUUGGGGUACUUGCUAUGAGGAAGCAAAUAGAAUGAUACAAUACCAGUGUGUAGGUUAAACUGGAGGUUGAGUACGGGGUCUUUGUUACUUAAGGUCCUCUGGGAAAGCCUUUCUGUUGGAAUGAAAUAUGAAAAAAAAGUAGCCUAAUAUUGUAGUAUUUUUGAUAUUGAUUUGUGACCUCAUUUAUUAAUAUGGCCUUGGUUAAAAGUCCCUUCGAGGCGUUUGCACUUACAGAGAUAACCUCAGGAACAGGUUAACUCUUCAGGUUUAUCAGAAACCUCUCCGUAAGGAGCAAGCUUGCUGUAUUUCAGUAUAAACGGCAUUUACAGAAUCCUGCUUUAAUCUUAGGUGAGCUUCACCGUAAAUGAAAUAUAUAAGAAACAUUUCAUGUGUAAAAGAUCCGUAUAUGGAAGACCUUUGCUCAUUUUACAGAAAGGCUACUUUUUUCUGUGAUAUUUUUCAGUGUCCCUUGUUCUACUCCCAGUAAUCUAUUUUUCUGAGAAAUCCCUUCCAGAGAAUAGAUUUGUUGGCAUGCUUCUUAUCCUGUGAUGAGAAUUGUGCAGCCAAUCUAGUUUUUUCCUUUUCCUGGUGCACCAGGAAGCUCAAAGCUUAAGGUGUGUGUUCAUUUGUCUGUUUUUCUGUUUGGAUUCUAAGAUAGUAUCUUCUACUUUGUGUCUGUCUUUGUCCCUUGGAUUUUGUGUUUUCACCAGUGGAUUAUUCCAGCUUUCAGUUAAUGAAGUGUCAAGUCCUUAUUUAUAAUAAGAAAUU